UACGAAGGGGGCUAGCGUUGUUCGGAAUCACUGGGCGUAAAGGGCGCGUAGGCGGCUGUUCAAGUCGGGGGUGAAAUCCCGUGGCUCAACCACGGAAUGGCCUUCGAUACUGGACGGCUCGAGACCGGAAGAGGUGAGUGGAACUGCGAGUGUAGAGGUGAAAUUCGUAGAUAUUCGCAAGAACACCAGUGGCGAAGGCGGCUCACUGGUCCGGUUCUGACGCUGAGGAGCGAAAGCGUGGGGAGCGAACAGG
rnacentral:rRNA from 1 species